rnacentral:rRNA from 1 species
UACAGAGGUCUCAAGCGUUGUUCGGAUUCAUUGGGCGUAAAGGGUGCGUAGGCGGCGCGGUAAGUCGGGUGUGAAAUCUCGGAGCUUAACUCCGAAACUGCAUUCGAUACUGCCGUGCUUGGAGGACUGGAGAGGAGACUGGAAUUUACGGUGUAGCGGAUGAAAUGCGUAGAUAUCGUAAGGAAGACCAGUGGCGAAGGCGGGUCUCUGGACAGUUCCUGACGCUGAGGCACGAAGGUCAGGGGAGCAAACGGG